GACAGAGGGAUGCAAGCGUUAUCCGGAAUGAUUGGGCGUAAAGGCGUCUGAGUAGGUGGCUUUUAAGUCCGCCGUCAAAUCCCGAGGGACUCAACCCUGGACAGGCGGUGGAAACUACCAAGCCUGGAGUACGGUAGGGGCAGAGGGAAUUUCCGGGUGGAGCGGUGAAAUGCGUAGAGAUCGGAAAGAACACCAACGGCGAAAGCACUCUGCUGGGCCGACACUGACCACUGAGAGACGAAAGCUAGGGGAGCGAAUGGG
rnacentral:rRNA from 1 species